rnacentral:lncRNA from 1 species
ACCGGUUAACAUAUUCUUGUAAUUACAGGCGAUAUAUGUUUAUAUUUAUAGAUGGUAGCAUUUCUUGGUAACAACGAGUAAUUUCGGUAGCGGUCGCGUCGGCGUAACUUCAAACUCGACGGUGCGCCUGCAAAUUGCUGAUCACGUAGUGGUAACUUUAUUUGAAAACAGCGCCGUUGGCUACCAGUUACAGCAGAGGAAGAUUUGUAUUAUUUGACUUGCCGGUUGUGUAAGUAAAGUGAAUAAAGUUAAAUAAGCUUUCUAUCCGAUUUUACUUUUUUAGUCUCUCUCUCUCUCUCUCUCUCUCUCUUAGUAAAUUAGAGCUUAAUCGCUUCUUGCCUAGUCAAAGCAGAUCUUGCUUUAUACGCAAUAUUUAAGUAAUCUCUCUUAUUUUUACGCUAGCGCGGUUACAUUAAUGCGGUAAGUGUUAGUCACAUAAUAUAAACGGUUCGUUUAUUAACAAAAUAUAAUUUAACUCAAACGGGAUGGCCACGCUUACUUCUGUAGCAGCCCAUAUACCUAUAUCUUUGAUGUGACGAUCCAACUAAAGUAAUAUUGAAGCCUACCAUCUAGAACCAGGCUACAGUCAACAGCACCUAUCUGUCUACAGAAGUAAGUAUCAAAUGGAUUAUUUUUUGCCCACUACAGAAAUUCGAUCACGUAUGGUAAUUGUUUUCGGUAGGAUUUUUUGACGAUGAAUACUUGUUUUACAAAUAUUUUCUUCUUCUAAUGUAUGAGGACCACUAAUCGAUAAAUACAGCAGGUCUUGGAGUCGCGCUGCUGUUACAGAGUUACCUUCGGAAGGCAUGUGGCUGCGGUGUUGGAUCUAUGUUAUGCUCCAGAAGCGUCGGUCGCGUUCCAGUAGAUGGCGCUGUUUACUGUUAUUAGAACACUAGAUCUGGAACAGCUGAUCAUCAGAAUCUGUAUAUUCUGUGAGCGAUGUUUACGCUAUGCCGUGACAUGGGCGAAAGAAUGUUAUUGUGUAAAUAAGUCGCUAAAUUAUGUCAAAUUUUGUUAUUUGAAGUGUUUCUGUAGGUAGGCAAAACACUAUGUGAACUGUGCCUACUGAAGAAUACUGAUGAAUCACGUGCCUGAUUAUCACAAAAACUGUGAAAUUAUUUUAAGAGUGGCUUUAAAGUCAGCAGUCGAGAAUAUUAUCUUGUUUAACUAAAGAAUCAGGGUAAACAAGCCAUGCAUAACUAUGCAAUAUUCUUUUGUUAUGUAUAUCGUUGUAAGAAGCAUUUGUGGGAAAACCUACUGAAAAAUCUUCGAAAUUGAACAUUGUAGGGAGCUUCUAUAUAAACAAGAUUAAUACAUAAGGAAGCUAAACAGAGCAUCGCGAGCUGCGACAAAAAUAGUCUGCAGGCCUUUCUAUUAAAUCAUUGACACCGGAACACCGCCUCUUCAGUGAUUCACUUCACCAAACGUUUUUGAUACAACAACAAUAUAGAUUUCAGCAUCUGUUUCAGAAUUAGUUGUUCUCUCUAUACCGGCGGCUGAAGCGGACAAUCCCGUUGUCGAAGAUUUAUCCCAGGCUAAACGAUUUCGUUGCGAAUUCUGCCCUUACAACUCACCUUUCAAGUGCAACCUCGAUAAGCAUGUCCGACGGCAUAAGGGCGAAAAGCCGUAUGCGUAUGUUUAAAAUCAACAACUUAUUUAAAUUAGUCGAACGCGAAAGUUUACUGUUGACGAAUCGCAAACUAAAGCUUGAGGAUCAUUCACUGCAACGCAUGAUGAUACAAUACUUCCAGCAGCAUAUUAAUAUUCUUCCGGACUGCCUUUUCUAAUCCUUUGACCCUAUAUAUUAUACAAUGAUAAUAAUAGUAAUAAAAUACUCUUAACUGAAGUACGAAUGUUUCUAUGCAGAAGACAAUCGUAACAAUUAUUGUAUGUUGGGUUGGUUUGGUUUGACAAAAAAGUGCAAUAGCUGGUAUGUUUUGCUAAAAAUUCUGCUAUUCGUAGAAAUAUAAAGGUCUUUCAUGUUAAAGAUUAGGAAGUAAAUUUUGCGGCGCUUUAGAAUAUGUAAAAUGUCGUCACUUAGUUUUAGUCAAGGUCAACACAACAGACACAAAAUAUAAUUUUUAAGAAAACAAAUAUAUUUCUUUAUUUUUCUUUUGUAUCGUACAAUUGUUCUUCCUUUGGAAGUGAUUGAACAUUUCUAAAAACUAUCAGCAUACUUCCUUCUUUGGUUUCUUGAUUAGCCUGACAUAGCGUUUCGAAGAGUAGUUUUCACUUAAAAUGGCUAGAUAACGGGCCAACGGAAGUACAACGGGUAGCAAUAAUAAGGUUAAUGCAGCGAAUAAUUCGAACAACGCCACAAAUUCACCUUGUAUACUUCAUUAUAUACAUGAUAAUAUAGAUCUGAACGCGUGUGCUGAAAUUAAUGACAAAUUUAGUCGAAAUUUCAUUUUGUCCCUUUCCUCGUUUUAUUAUGGCACAUAUCUCGUUUUAAAUGUAUAAAGUUAACCGAUACAAAAUACUCACUUAAUUGACUGGUGCUUCUAGGUGUUCUCAAUGCAACUACACAGCAGCCUGUCCGAGUAAUUUGUCUGCGCAUUUUCGGCGAAGACACGACAAAAGUAAUGCUACA